AGAGUUUGAUCCUGGCUCAGGACGAACGCUGGCGGCGUGCUUAACACAUGCAAGUCGAACGGAAAGGCCCGCAUCAUUUUUUUGGUGGGGGUGCUCGAGUGGCGAACGGGUGAGUAACACGUGGGUGAUCUGCCCUGUACUUCGGGAUAAGCUUGGGAAACUGGGUCUAAUACCGGAUAGGACCAUGGUUUAGUGUCUCAUGGUGGAAAAAUUAUUGUUUUGGUGCAGGAUGAGCUCGCGGCCUAUCAGCUUGUUGGUGGGGUAAUGGCCUACCAAGGCGGCGACGGGUAGCCGGCCUGAGAGGGUGGACGGCCACAUUGGGACUGAGACACGGCCCAGACUCCUACGGGAGGCAGCAGUGGGGAAUAUUGCACAAUGGGCGCAAGCCUGAUGCAGCGACGCCGCGUGGGGGAUGACGGCCUUCGGGUUGUAAACUCCUUUCGUUAGGGACGAAGCCACACUUUUUUUGGGUGUGGUGACGGUACCUUUGUUAAGAAGCACCGGCUAACUACGUGCCAGCAGCCGCGGUAAUACGUAGGGUGCGAGCGUUGUCCGGAAUUACUGGGCGUAAAGAGCUCGUAGGUGGUUUGUUGCGUCGUCUGUGAAAUUCCGGGGCUUAACUUCGGGGUGGCAGGCGAUACGGGCAUAACUAGAGUGCUGUAGGGGAGACUGGAAUUCCUGGUGUAGCGGUGGAAUGCGCAGAUAUCAGGAGGAACACCGAUGGCGAAGGCAGGUCUCUGGGCAGUAACUGACGCUGAGGAGCGAAAGCAUGGGGAGCGAACAGGAUUAGAUACCCUGGUAGUCCAUGCUGUAAACGGUGGGCGUUAGGUGUGGGGACCGGUUUGGUUUCUGUGCCGUAGCUAACGCAUUAAGCGCCCCGCCUGGGGAGUACGGCCGCAAGGCUAAAACUCAAAGGAAUUGACGGGGGC
rnacentral:rRNA from 1 species